rnacentral:rRNA from 1 species
UACGAAGGGGGCUAGCGUUGCUCGGAAUGACUGGGCGUAAAGGGCGCGUAGGCGGAUGGCACAGUCAGAUGUGAAAUCCCUGGGCUUAACCUGGGGGCUGCAUUUGAUACGUGUGAUCUAGAGUGAGGAAGAGGGUUGUGGAAUUCCCAGUGUAGAGGUGAAAUUCGUAGAUAUUGGGAAGAACACCGGUGGCGAAGGCGGCGACCUGGUCCUUAACUGACGCUGAGGCGCGAAAGCGUGGGGAGCAAACAGG